UACGAAGGAUUCGAGCGUUAUCCGGAUUUAUUGGGUUUAAAGGGUGCGUAGGCGGACUGAUAAGUCAGUGGUGAAAGCCUGUUGCUUAACAACAGAACUGCCAUUGAUACUGCCAGUCUUGAGUACAGUUGAGGUAGGCGGAAUGUGUCAUGUAGUGGUGAAAUACUUAGAUAUGACACAGAACACCGAUUGCGAAGGCAGCUUGCUAAACUGUAACCGACGCUGAGGCACGAAAGCAUGGGGAGCAAACAGG
rnacentral:rRNA from 1 species